CCAACCGAGGAGCGUUGCAGCGCCGUCAGGCGUGAGGCUCGGAAUUCACACGCAACCACGCUCACCCGCA
rnacentral:ncRNA from 1 species